UUACUUUUAGGAGAUUUAUUU
ensembl:piRNA 21ur-9436 ncRNA